GACGAACGCUGGCGGCGUGCUUAACACAUGCAAGUCGAACGGAAAGGCCCUGCUUUUGUGGGGUGCUCGAGUGGCGAACGGGUGAGUAACACGUGAGUAACCUGUCCUUGACUUUGGGAUAACUUCAGGAGACUGGGGCUAAUACCGGAUAGGAGCUCCUGCUGCAUGGUGGGGGUUGGAAAGUUUCGGCGGUUGGGGAUGGACUCGCGGCUUAUCAGCUUGUUGGUGGGGUAGUGGCUUACCAAGGCUUUGACGGGUAGCCGGCCUGAGAGGGUGACCGGCCACAUUGGGACUGAGAUACGGCCCAGACUCCUACGGGAGGCAGCAGUGGGGAAUAUUGCACAAUGGGCGGAAGCCUGAUGCAGCAACGCCGCGUGCGGGAUGACGGCCUUCGGGUUGUAAACCGCUUUCGCCUGUGACGAAGCGUGAGUGACGGUAAUGGGUAAAGAAGCACCGGCUAACUACGUG
rnacentral:rRNA from 1 species